ACUAGUGACCAUACCACGUUGAAAGCACCGGUUCUCUUCCGAUCACCGCAGUUAAGCAACGUUGAGCCCGGUCAGUACUUGCAUGUUCGACCGGCUGGGAAUACCGACUGUCGCCGACU
rnacentral:rRNA from 1 species